rnacentral:rRNA from 1 species
GACGAACGCUGGCGGCGUGGAUUAGGCAUGCAAGUCGAACGGUAUCAUCCUUUCGGGGGUGAGAGAGUGGCGAACUGGUGAGUAACACGUAGGUUAUCUACCCUCAAGACGGGGACAACCCAGGGAAACUUGGGCUAAUACCGGAUGUGAGCAACUUUUAGUUGUUUGAAAGGUGGCGUAAGCUGUCGCUUGGGGAUGAGCCUGCGUCCUAUUAGUUAGUUGGUGAGGUAACGGCUCACCUAGGCAAUGAUAGGUAGGCGGCCUUAACGGGUGGUCGCCCACACUGGGAUUGAGAUACGGCCCAGACUCCUACGGGAGGCAGCAGUCGAGAAUAGUCUACAAUGGUCGGAAGACUGAUAGUGCGACGCCGCGUGAACGAUGAAUCCCUUCGGGGUGUAAAGUUCUUUUAUAUGUGAGUAGUGCUUCUUAUAUUAACAGUAUGGGGAGAGAGAUAUUAGCAUAUGAAUAAGCAACGGCUAACUCCGUGCCAGCAGCCGCGGUAAAAUCACG